GAUGAACGCUGGCGGCGUGCCUAAUACAUGCAAGUCGAGCGAACAGACGAGGAGCUUGCUCCUCUGACGUUAGCGGCGGACGGGUGAGUAACACGUGGAUAACCUACCUAUAAGACUGGGAUAACUUCGGGAAACCGGAGCUAAUACCGGAUAAUAUAUUGAACCGCAUGGUUCAAUAGUGAAAGACGGUUUUGCUGUCACUUAUAGAUGGAUCCGCGCCGCAUUAGCUAGUUGGUAAGGUAACGGCUUACCAAGGCAACGAUGCGUAGCCGACCUGAGAGGGUGAUCGGCCACACUGGAACUGAGACGCGGUCCAGACUCCUACGGGAGGCAGCAGUAAGGAAUCUUCCGCAAUGGGCGAAAGCCUGACGGAGCAACGCCGCGUGAGUGAUGAAGGUCUUCGGAUCGUAAAACUCUGUUAUUAGGGAAGAACAAAUGUGUAAGUAACUAUGCACGUCUUGACGGUACCUAAUCAGAAAGCCACGGCUAACUACGUG
rnacentral:rRNA from 1 species